CAGGCUUGAAAAGAGCACGUCACCAAUUCAGGGCUAUUAACUAGACGAACCAAGUGUGACAAUUUCCCCAAGGAUCUCACUAUCAAGGACAGAAAAGGUGUAGAGUUAAAAUAUUCGCUAUCUGGGAGUAUAAAUGGUGGAGCUGAAGGCAAUGCGACUCUAGGCAAAAGGCAACAUUAAAGGAGAAUGUGCACAGUAGUGCGAAUAUUUUCCUAGAAGCUGUGAGAAGACCAAACUGUGCGCAUCACUAUAGCAACAAAGAGCGCUACUACAGCAUUACCAUCAUACAUCGAGGCAGAGCGUCGGAGAGGAUCACGAGGAGUUCAGCACGCAACAAGAGAGCAUUAUACAUAUAUAAUGAAGUUACUUAAAAUAACUGGUAGCACAGAUUCUUCUUAUUACUGUGACAUACACACAUAUGCCAGAUGCAAGUGUACAAAAAAAAUUCUGUCAAAAUGAUUCAAAUCUGACAGCUAGACAAAUGUCUAAAAAAUAAACUACAUUUGUAGAAGUAAAUUAAAAAAUAAAUGUAAAUAAAUAUUAUAGCAGCUAAAAUCAAUAUACAAUAUAAAAUGGUGCACAAGGAUGAUGUAAAAGAGCACUUUUUAACACCAUGCUCUCGUGAAUUCUGUGCAGAUUCAUUUCUUAAUAAUCCUUUAUAUAGAGCUCCCCCUAGUGGUGGCUGCAAGAAGCCUGAAUUUUGUCACUUCACUCCAGGGCUAUGCAUGGGAUUUGGAACUCAGGACCAGAGGCUUUAGCCUCAACCAUUACAAAGGAAACAGCAAGAAUUUUGGACCAAUUUAAAUAAAAAUAGAAUGGUGGAUAUUUGCAUGAAGCUUUUUUUUAUUGUC